rnacentral:rRNA from 1 species
CGUAGGGUGCGAGCGUUGUCCGGAUUUAUUGGGCGUAAAGAGCUUGUAGGCGGUUUGUCGCGUCGGGAGUGAAACUCAGGGCUUAACCCUGAGCCUGCUUCCGAUACGGGCAGACUUGAGGAAGGUAGGGGAGAAUGGAAUUCCUGGUGGAGCGGUGGAAUGCGCAGAUAUCAGGAGGAACACCAGUGGCGAAGGCGGUUCUCUGGACCUUUCCUGACGCUGAGAAGCGAAAGCGUGGGGAGCAAACAGGCUU